rnacentral:lncRNA from 1 species
CAGUAAGGUCUUUGUACUAUCUCUGUCCUUUCUUUAAAUAAUGCUUGUUUAUGCUUUUCUUUAUAGAACAAGAGGGUAUAUCUAAGGACCAGGAUGUGCCAAUGCUACAAUUCCAUACUUCAGAAUGUGUCUGCAGCAAGCAAAUCAUCUCAGACCAAAGAAUGAGGAAACAGACACUGAGCACUUUGCCUUACAAACAAGGAAUUCUAAUAUCCUGCUGUUUUCAAUGAUGGGCAGAAGGAAUAUUCAUAAUGGCACAAUGAUGGUUCAAUUUAAUAGAGAGACUUUAGGUCUUGUGGAAAUCCAACUGUGAAGACUAAAUAAGAGAAGGUAUGUGGAUGGGGCUUUGAAAAAACGUAACACUAAUCAGACAUGAGAUGUUUUAUCAGGUUCAUUUCCAACAUGGCAUAUGUGUCAAUUUUGGCUUCACCAACUAUUAAAUAUUAAUUGCCUUUUGCUAAAUAUAGGAUAGAGUCUUACUAAAUAUCAACCCCCAAGUGUUGUUUAGAUGCACAGCCACACCCUCUUUGAGUGUUUUUAUGCUCUAUUAAGGAAUGUACCACAGGCACAGAAUGAAAAGCUUGGUGUCAUUUAGCAAGUUGUGGUAAUUUGUAGGCUUUCAUCUGUACAGACUUGAAGUCUUUCCAUCCCUCUGCUACGUUAUCCCUGCCACUUUGCACGGCUCUGUUCCUUUCUAUCUCCUCCUCCCUCACAUUUGGUUUUGUGCUUCAGAUUCAGAGAAACCAAAAGUCAAAACAAAAUGUUCAGAAUUGCUGACUCCUCUUCUGUAACCAUUUUUUAAAUCCAGUAUUCACAGGAAGACAUGGUGCUCUCCAGACUUUGGUCUGAAUUCCCUUAAAAUACUGGCAAAGUUCAUGAAACUCUGAAUGAAUGUGAGCCAAGCUAUAGAUAUCUAGAAAAAAAUCUCACUUUUGUAGAAGCAUCAGAACAAAUAUUAUUUAACAAAAUAGUUUCAACUUUAAACCAUCUGUGGAGUACUUAACAUUUAAUAAGGUUCUGCUAUCUCUAUUUUAUAGCAAUAAAAUAGUGAUGUAAUUUAUAUUUUGUUUUGAGUGGAUCCUGUGAAUUUUAAAAUGUAGGUGCAUUUUCUAGUAACAUGUGAAAUGUAUCUUUGGCUUUGCUGCCUUUGAAGUUUCUCUUGAAGCUCUGCCAAUAAGAAGAAAAGGUGUUGUAAGAUUUUGUUCAUUUUGAAGAGGCCUCCGUACUCUAGGGGUCCCCUAGAGUAUGUUUCCCUGGUGUAAGAAGGGACUUUGAGAGCCCAUGUCACAUAAAGGGAUGCACUCUUGCCCUGGACACAUAGGGAAGGGCCUAGGCCCAGCCCAGGAUGAUGUGAUGGACUUUGCGGAGCCUGGAGCCCUCAUUGAGGGCCCUACCCUGCC